UACGUAGGGGGCUAGCGUUAUCCGGAAUUACUGGGCGUAAAGGGUGCGUAGGUGGUUUGAUAAGUCAGUGGUGAAAGUCUGUCGCUUAACGGUAGGAUUGCCAUUGAUACUGUUGGACUUGAAUAUGGAUGAGGUAGGCGGAAUGUGUAGUGUAGCGGUGAAAUGCAUAGAUAUUACACAGAACACCGAUUGCGAAGGCAGCUUACUAAUCCAUCAUUGACGCUGAGGCACGAAAGCGUGGGGAUCAAACAGGAUUAGA
rnacentral:rRNA from 1 species